GUGCUCCCGCCCCCCGGGAAUGAAUGGAUGGGCGGCCUCAGCGCCCGCCCGACCGCUGGGAGGACCGACCCGGCGGGGACCUGCUGGGGGCAGGACCCGGGGAGCAAGAUGGCCACGGUCAUCCCUGGCCCCCUGAGCCUAGGCGAGGACUUCUACCGCGAGGCCAUCGAGCACUGCCGCAGCUACAACGCGCGCCUGUGCGCCGAGCGCAGCCUGCGACUGCCCUUCCUCGACUCGCAGACCGGCGUGGCCCAGAACAAUUGCUACAUCUGGAUGGAGAAGACCCACCGCGGGCCGGGUUUGGCCCCCGGACAGAUUUACACGUACCCCGCCCGCUGUUGGAGGAAGAAACGGAGACUCAACAUCCUGGAGGACCCCAGACUCAGGCCCUGCGAGUACAAGAUCGACUGUGAAGCACCCCUGAAGAAGGAGGGUGGCCUCCCGGAAGGGCCGGUCCUCGAGGCUCUACUGUGUGCAGAGACGGGGGAGAAGAAGAUUGAGCUGAAGGAGGAGGAGACCAUUAUGGACUGUCAGAAACAGCAGUUGCUGGAGUUUCCGCAUGAUCUCGAGGUGGAAGACUUGGAGGAUGACAUUCCCAGGAGGAAGAACAGGGCCAAAGGAAAGGCAUAUGGCAUCGGGGGUCUCCGGAAACGCCAGGACACCGCUUCCCUGGAGGACCGAGACAAGCCGUAUGUCUGUGAUAGUGAGUCCUUCUGAAGAGGGGGAAAGGCAGAGAGAGGGGGGCCCAGAGACUCCCCACCUCGUGGCCCUCUCCCUCCUGUUCCAGACCCGGGUUGGGAGGCUGCUCAGGUCUCUGGCUGAGGGGGGAGGUGUGAUCCUGGAGGCCAGGGUGGAGGCGGCAUGGGCCCGGAGGGGCUGACAGGCCCUCCUGGCUCGCUCGCUCCCCAGUCUGUGGGAAACGGUAUAAGAACCGGCCGGGGCUCAGCUACCACUACACCCACACCCACCUGGCCGAGGAGGAGGGGGAGGAGAACGCCGAACGCCACGCCCUGCCCUUCCACCGGAAAAACAACCAUAAACAGUUUUACAAAGAAUUGGCCUGGGUCCCUGAGGCACAAAGGAAACACACAGCCAAGAAGGCGCCCGACGGCACUGUCAUCCCCAACGGCUACUGUGACUUCUGUCUGGGGGGCUCCAAGAAGACGGGGUGUCCCGAGGACCUCAUCUCCUGUGCAGACUGUGGGCGAUCAGGACACCCCUCGUGUUUACAAUUCACGGUGAACAUGACGGCAGCCGUGCGGACCUACCGCUGGCAGUGCAUCGAGUGCAAAUCCUGCAGCCUGUGCGGAACCUCCGAGAACGACGACCAGCUGCUGUUUUGUGAUGACUGCGAUCGGGGUUACCACAUGUACUGCCUGAGCCCCCCCAUGGCGGAGCCCCCGGAAGGGAGCUGGAGCUGUCACCUCUGUCUCCGGCACCUGAAGGAAAAGGCUUCUGCUUACAUCACCCUCACCUAGGCCGGCUCGGCUCGCCGCGACUCUGGGGUGGUGCUUGCCUACCUGCCUCUCCGAGCUCCUCAAUUCUCCCCGACCCUGAACGCCCCGCA
rnacentral:sRNA from 1 species